rnacentral:sRNA from 1 species
CUUUAGCCCCGAUUGAAACGGCGCCGUGCAGAGUGAAAAGCGGGAAUUGCC